UUGUUAAAAUAAGUCUGACAGGAAAAAAUAGUGAUUAUACUGGACGAUAGUUAAAUUGUGCCAGUAAGAACAAGUGGAUGUGAAGCAGCAGAUUUACGAUAAGUGAUGCUCCUCCUGGAUCACCGCAUGCGAAUGCAUGUUAUCAUGGAGUAGAGUGGAAUAACUUCUGAGAUCGGCCUUUCGUUUCAACCUAAAAGCGAUGGUGGAGAAUGCCAUAAUUUUGGCGCAGUGGUUGGUGCUUCCGAGCAAGGAAUGACGGGUCGGUGAUGGAAUACCCGAGAUGCGCCCUGAGUUGUCCGGACAAAACCCCCUUCUCUGCAGUCGCCGCGGGAUACUCCUACCCAACACACUGACACCCAUUA